rnacentral:rRNA from 1 species
AGAGUUGAUCCUGGCUUAGGACGAACGCUGGCGGCACGCUUAACACAUGCAAGUCGAACGGACUUAAUGGAGCUUGCUCUAUUAAGUUAGUGGCGGACGGGUGAGUAACACGUGAGCAACCUGCCUCUGAGAGAGGGAUAGCUUCUGGAAACGGAUGGUAAUACCUCAUAAUAUAGCGAAUUGGCAUCAGUUUGCUAUCAAAGAUUUAUCGCUUAGAGAUGGGCUCGCGUCUGAUUAGAUAGUUGGUGGGGUAACGGCCUACCAAGUCAACGAUCAGUAGCCGGACUGAGAGGUUGGACGGCCACAUUGGGACUGAGACACGGCCCAGACUCCUACGGGAGGCAGCAGUGGGGAAUAUUGCACAAUGGGCGCAAAGCCUGAUGCAGCGAUGCCGCGUGGAGGAAGAAGGUUUUCGGAUUGUAAACUCCUGUCCUAGGGGACGAUAAUGACGGUACCCUUGGAGGAAGCUCCGGCUAACUACGUGCCAGCCGCGGC